UACGUAGGGUGCAAGCGUUAAUCGGAAUUACUGGGCGUAAAGCGUGCGCAGGCGGUGAUGUAAGACAGAUGUGAAAUCCCCGGGCUCAACCUGGGAACUGCAUUUGUGACUGCAUCGCUGGAGUGCGGCAGAGGGGGAUGGAAUUCCUGGUGUAGCAGUGAAAUGCGUAGAUAUCAGGAGGAAUACCGAUGGCGAAGGCAGGUCUCUGGGCUGACACUGACGCUCAUGCACGAAAGCGUGGGGAGCAAACAGG
rnacentral:rRNA from 1 species